AUUGAACGCUGGCGGCAGGCCUAACACAUGCAAGUCGAACGGUAACAGGAAGAAGCUUGCUUCUUUGCUGACGAGUGGCGGACGGGUGAGUAAUGUCUGGGAAACUGCCUGAUGGAGGGGGAUAACUACUGGAAACGGUAGCUAAUACCGCAUAACGUCGCAAGACCAAAGAGGGGGACCUUCGGGCCUCUUGCCAUCGGAUGUGCCCCGAUGGGAUUAGCUAGUAGGUGGGGUAACGGCUCACCUAGGCGACGAUCCCUAGCUGGUCUGAGAGGAUGACCAGCCACACGGGAACUGAGACACGGUCCAGACUCCUACGGGAGGCAGCAGUGGGGAAUAUUGCACAAUGGGCGCAAGCCUGAUGCAGCCAUGCCGCGUGUAUGAAGAAGGCCUUCGGGUUGUAAAGUACUUUCAGCGGGGAGGAAGGGAGUAAAGUUAAUACCUGUGCUCAUUGACGUUACCCGCAGAAGAAGCACCGGCGAACUCCGU
rnacentral:rRNA from 1 species